ACUUCUAGUGUUGACUGGCAGGUAAGUUAACUGGAAGUUGGGAAGCUGACGUGGCUGUGCCAGGGUCUCCAAGGCCCCAGGGUGGGAGCAGGCUGGCAUACAGCAUCCUCAGGCUAGCUGGGGGGUCUAGUGCCAAGGCAGUGGGGGAAGUGUCAUGCUCGAGUUGCACUGGGGGUGCCAAACCCAUGGGCAAGAGCCCCCCAGACCACACACAGGGCAUUGUAACAGGCAUCAAGGGUCAUCCCAGCCAUCCCCUGCACAGCUGCAAGAGAAAGAGGCACCCCCCUGAAUUCCCAGGUGGCCUCCCAUCCAAGCAGUAGCCAGGCCAGGCCAGGCGCUGCCAGCUUCUGCAUCCAGAGCAGGGCAGGUGCAUUCAACCACUGGCCAGGUCACUGGCCUCCUUGUGGGCAUUCCACGUGACACUGUGGCUCCCGUAACCAGGCGUGCAGGUGAAUUCUCUGGGGGACCCGACUGCAUUAGGAUGCUCAGGGUGGUGCCCAACAGUGCCAUGGCUCCCUGGUGCUGAGCCAGAGUGGGCAAGAGCAUUAACGCUUGUUCUCCUCCCUUUCAGGCAAAGGGCAGGAUCGUGGUGGUGCCAGGUGGCGGGAUAACGGAGCGAAACCUGCAGCGGAUCCUCGAGGGCUCCAGCACCUCCGAGUUCCACUGCUCGGCACGCUCAGCCCGUGACUCAGGGAUGAAGUUCAGAAACCCUCACGUUGCCAUGGGAGCUUCCCUCUCUGCCUCAGAGUACUCGGUCAAGGUGGCCGACGUGGCGAAAGUGCGGACCCUGAACGCCAUCGCAAAGAACAUCCUGUAGCGGGACAGAAACGUGCAGACCCUGGGUCCCCCCUGUCAGCGCAGGCAAAGGGACUUCAGCUCCCGCAUCCCUGGGGCGGGGAAGGGCAUGGAUCACACGCAGAAACCUGCCACCUCUUCCGUGGUCUCUUUUGUGGCUUCGUGUGGAUGCCCACUCCCGGGGCUGGAGGCCACUACUGGUCUUUUUGAUUGUGGACCCUUUCCUGGCUGCAGCACUGGCACCAACUGUCCGGCAGCCAUGGGGCAGAGGGGAGGGUUAGCUAAUGGGGCGGUGAAUUGUGCGACAGUGCUAUGAUGUCAAAUAAACACCCCACAGCCAGCCCGUGUCACUGUGGCUCUUCCUUGCCAGGAGGGCUGGCAGCCCAGUACAAGCAGUGUCUGCUCUCCCGAGUUGUGUGACGUGGGCCCAAGCCCACGUGGCGCUUCCCGGCCUGCAACACAGCGGCUGGAGAAGUCACGUCCCCUCUGGGGUCCGCGGCACCAGGCAGGCAGCAGAGCAGGCCUCGGAGUCCUAGCGCCACAACGCGGAGACCUGUGCAGCACAGGACGGGCCCCUGCCCUGCUCUGGGGAUCUCUCUGGACACAAGCCAGUGAACCUCCAACCUCGAGCCGCGUUCAUCUGCUCCGAUAGCCUCGCCAUCACC